rnacentral:rRNA from 1 species
UUGGAGGGCAAGUCUGGUGCCAGCAGCCGCGGUAAUUCCAGCUCCAAUAGCGUAUAUUAAAGUUGUUGCAGUUAAAAAGCUCGUAGUUGAAUUUCGGGAUCAAUACGUCGGUCGUGCUUUUUUGGUACGCACUGGCGUCAUUGGUUUCUCCUUUCUGACGAACCAUGAUGUCAUUAAUUUGGUGUUAUGGGGAGUUAGGACUGUUACUUUGAAAAAAUUGGAGUGUUUAAAGCAGGCAUUAGCUUGAAUACAUUAGCAUGGAAUAAUGAAAUAGGACGUUCGAUCCUAUUUUGUUGGUUUCUAGGAUCAACGUAAUGAUUAAUAGGGAUAGUUGGGGGCAUUAGUAUUCAAUUGUCAGAGGUGAAAUUCUUGGAUUUAUUGAAGACUAGCUACUGCGAAAGCAUUUGCCAAGGAUGUUUUCAUUAAUCAAGAACGAAAGUUAGGGGAACGAAGACGAUCAGAUACCGUCGUAGUCUUAACCAUAAACUAUGCCGACUAGGGAUCGGAUGAUGUUAAUUUAUUAAUGACUCAUUCGGCGCCUUACGGGAAAC